CGCCAUUCGAUCAGCACACAAGCGGCUGGAUAUUUUGCAGACGGAAUUUGCAGCGUCUCCAUCAUCAGAGAAAAGCCGUGAUGCAUGACCUGCUUGACUGGAUUGAUAAAUGAUUUAUCAAAAGCACACAGAACCAGUCUAGACCCUGACCGUGGCUCCAUGCCUGCCCCAGCAGGGCGGGGGGGGGACAGGAGUCAUCGAUCGGCCAGGAUGACGUUCCGGUGUUGGGUGCCUGGUCAUAAUUAGCAAGGUAACUGACAACAAACUCUGGACAUCAGCAACCUCAUUAACAGUCCGAGGCGUCACCGCCAUGGUUGCCAUGACGUCAAUAUCUCUGUGGAGACCUGGGAUCAAGUUCAUAUUCCCAUUCUCGUGGCUUCGGUUGCAUUUCCCUUCAUUUGUCAGAACUCACUUUCAUAAUCAGUUGUUUUUGUAUUUCUUGUCUCCUUCUGUUCUGUAUUUUGUAUUUUUCAGCCAACAUUGUUCUGAGCUCUGGAUGAUUGUAGUCCACCAAUCUGAAAUGUCUGCAGGGCAAACGUAUGGGAAAGAAAAAUGAUAGAGCAGUGAGAGGUGACAAAACACCAAAGUCAUAUUGUUUGAGGAAGCCUGAGCGGCAGGAGGG
ensembl:lncRNA